UACCAGCACCCCGAGUGGUCGGGACGAUUAUUGGGCCUAAAGCAUCCGUAGCCGGUCCUACAAGUCUUCCGUUAAAUCCACCUGCUUAACAGAUGGGCUGCGGAAGAUACUAUAAGGCUAGGAGGCGGGAGAGGCAAGCGGUACUCAGUGGGGUAGGGGUAAAAUCCUCUGAUCCAUUGAAGACCACCAGUGGCGAAGGCGGCUUGCCAGAACGCGCUCGACGGUGAGGGAUGAAAGCUGGGGGAGCAACCGG
rnacentral:rRNA from 1 species